rnacentral:rRNA from 1 species
AUGUCGGAGACCACCGCCGUGCCGUUAUCGAACGACACCAUCUUCGACAUCCUCUGCCGGACGCCGUUUAGGUCCGUCUGCCGAUUCCGAUGCGUCUCAAGGGGGUGGCCCGACCUCAUCUCCGCCCCGGACUUCGCCGCGGCGCACAGGUCCCGCCACGGCCCGCUCCUCGUCGACACCGGCUACUUUCGACAAGAAAAACCCGCCGCAGGCCGUGAUAUGCGUCUCAUGGACAUGGAAGGCAACGUCAUCAGAGUCAUCAGGGUCGUCGGAGGUUUUGGGAUCACGUGCUCGUCGAGCCUCGACGACCUCAUCGCCGUCAGCCGCGGUCCGUCAAACGGCAUCCAUGUAGUAGAUCCGGCCACCGGGGAGGUUCUCCUGACCUGCCCACCAAUGGAGGUGAAGACACUCGAAGUGCAUCCAUUCAUUGCCAUGGCUCGCUAUGAAAUCUAUGGCUUCGGCCGUGCCAUUUCGUCUGAUGAAUACAAGGUGGUCCGCAUUGCCAAGGACAAAAGAACUUGUGAGGUCCUCACUUUAGGAGACGACCCAUCAUCAGCCUGGAGGCGGACGCUGCCGCCUCCGAUCAGUGUGCCCACUGAUGUGGGUUCCCCGGUCGCUGUCAAUGGCAUUAUGUACUUCUUGGCAGAUGAGACGCGUGAAACCUUGUUGUGCUUCGACAUCGAGAGCGAGCAAUGGAAGGCCAACAUGAUCAAAGGGCCACGGAAAGGCAAUCCCCUAGAGAUGCGGAGGAAAACAGCAGCAAUCUGUAUAAGCGAGCUCAACGGCGCUCUGUGCAUGGUUAUAGCCGAAAAACAAGACAGUCGAAGCACAAACAUAUGGACACUGGAUGACUCUGGUAAGAUCAACUGGAUCAAGGCCUAUUCGAUCCCAAUGACCCCAUAUACUAGUCGUUAUAUGCCGCUGAUGGUGAUGCCUGGAGGUGGGAAGCUUCUACUGCAAUGCCAUGGUCCUGCCCAAUCAGUGAUACUUCAAAUUUACGAUCCUCGCACCAAUACAAGCACGCAUGUUAUGAAGGCACCAAAACAGCUUGGAGAUAGAAUUGCCAUUUGCAACUUUCGCUUCCAUCGUCGUGUCUCGGCCAAUAAUUAA